UAGUCCAUGCCGUAAACGAUGUGUGUUAGACGUUGGAAAUUUUUUUUCAGUGUCGCAGCGAAAGCGAUAAACACACCGCCUGGGGAGUACGACCGCAAGGUUAAAACUCAAAUGAAUUGACGGGGACCCGCACAAGUAGUGGAGCAUGUGGUUUAAUUCGAAGAUACGCGCAGAACCUUACCAACACUUGACAUGUUCGUCGCGACUCUAAGAGAUUAGAGUUUUCGGUUCGGCCGGACGAAACACAGGUGCUGCAUGGCUGUCGUCAGCUCGUGUCGUGAGAUGUUGGGUUAAGUCCCGCAACGAGCGCAACCCUCACUUUUAGUUGCCAUCAUUAAGUUGGGCACUCUGGAAGAACUGCCAGUGAUAAGCUGGAGGAAGGUGGGGAUGACGUCAAGUCCUCAUGGCCCUUACGUGUUGGGCUACACACGUGCUACAAUGGUAUCUACAACAGGAAGCAAGACUGCGAGGUCAAGCAAAUCCUUAAAAGAUACCUCAGUUCGGAUUGCACUCUGCAACUCGAGUGCAUGAAGUUGGAAUUACUAGUAAUCGUGGAUCAGCGUGCCACGGUGAAUGCGUUCCCGGGUCUUGUACACACCGCCCGUCACACCAUGGGAGUUGGUUCUACCUUAAGGCAAGGCAUAAAACCCUUGACCACGGUAUAGUCAGCGACUGGGGUGAAGUCGUAACAAGGUAACCG
rnacentral:rRNA from 1 species